rnacentral:rRNA from 1 species
GAUGAACGCUGGCGGCGUGCCUAAUACAUGCAAGUCGAGCGAACAGACGAGGAGCUUGCUCCUCUGACGUUAGCGGCGGACGGGUGAGUAACACGUGGAUAACCUACCUAUAAGACUGGGAUAACUUCGGGAAACCGGAGCUAAUACCGGAUAAUAUAUUGAACCGCAUGGUUCAAUAGUGAAAGACGGUUUUGCUGUCACUUAUAGAUGGAUCCGCGCCGCAUUAGCUAGUUGGUAAGGUAACGGCUUACCAAGGCAACGAUGCGUAGCCGACCUGAGAGGGUGAUCGGCCACACGGGAACUGAGACUCGGUCCAGACUCCUACGGUGGGCAGCAGUAGAGAAUCUUCCGCGAUGGGGGAAAGCCUGACGGAGCAACGCCGCGUGAGUGAUAACGGUCUUCGGAUCGUAAAACUCUGUUAUUAGGGAAGAACAAAUGUGUAAGUAACUAUGCACGUCUUGACGGUACCUAAUCAGAAAGCCACGGCUAACUACGUG